GGUCCAUCAAACUAUGCAUCAUCUUGAACAUAUGUUGGUGUUGGGUUUUGGUAGAUGAAGUGCAUGCAGAAAUUUCAAGAUAUUUUUGAAAACGACUGUGGAAGUGUAGAUUAAAACACAUUUUAAUAUAGCAUGCAAAGAUCAAAUCUAAUCACCUACGGAUCUAAUUUAUAUCAUGAAUAACAAGAUGAGAACAUGCAUUUGAUUUUAAAAGAGUAAAACUAAAAAUAAAUCGA
rnacentral:lncRNA from 1 species